GGAAGCGUCGCCUAACUGGUCAGGGCACUGCACUGCUAACGCAGCGGGGUUCACCAAAAACCUUUGUGAGUUCGAAUCUCACCGCUUCCGCCA
rnacentral:tRNA from 1 species